GAUGAACGCUGGCGGCGUGCCUAAUACAUGCAAGUCGAGCGAACGGACGAGAAGCUUGCUUUUCUGAUGUUAGCGGCGGACGGGUGAGUAACACGUGGAUAACCUACCUAUAAGACUGGGAUAACUUCGGGAAACCGGAGCUAAUACCGGAUAAUAUUUUGAACCGCAUGGUUCAAAAGUGAAAGACGGUCCUGCUGUCACUUAUAGAUGGAUCCGCGCUGCAUUAGCUAGUUGGUAAGGUAACGGCUUACCAAGGCAACGAUGCAUAGCCGACCUGAGAGGGGGAUCGGCCACACUGGAACUGAGACACGGUCCAGACUCCUACGGGAGGCAGCAGUAGGGAAUCUUCCGCAAUGGGCGAAAGCCUGACGGAGCAACGCCGCGUGGGUGAUGAAGGUCUUCGGAUCGGAAAACUCUGUUAUUAGGGAAGAACAUAUGUGUAAGUAACUGUGCACAUCUUGACGGUACCUAAUCAGAAAGCCACGGCUAACUACGUG
rnacentral:rRNA from 1 species